rnacentral:lncRNA from 1 species
UCGAGCACUCGGUCCACGACGCCAACUACUCCCCCGCCGAUCGCACAGUCCACGUCUGGCGGGGUUUUAGCCACCGGCUAACUGCUAACUGAACUUGACCUAUUAACUAGCUAACUGAAACCGACUGGAAAGCAAAUCCUAACUAACUAACGGGCUAGCUAGUCUAGCUUAUUGUGCAACAUGGCAACUAGUUAAUAACACAUGACAACUAUGGUUUGACCACACGUGGCAACUUGUUAAUCACACAUGCCAACUAUGGUUGACCAUACAUGACCACUAUGGUUCAAACACACGUGGCACCUAGUUAAUCAUACAUGGAACGUAUGGUUGACCAUACAUGACAACUAUGGUUGACUAUACAUGACAACUAUGGUUUGAUCACACAUUACACAUUGGCCAAAUGAUAAGUACCACACGUAUGGCACGAAAUAACAUUGUCCUAACAUUUUUACAACUAAAAUUUCCAUCCGAGAAAAAAAAACCCAAAAAAGCCGUAACUCGUGAUCCAAAUAGAAAGUUGCCAUGAUUUAGAAAUAAAGUUGCCAUCCUCGGUAACUAAAGUUGCCAUAAAAAAUGCUAGUGCAUAAUUUCUUCAUGCCACACAUGUGGGGUGUCCGGAUGGGGUGAGUAGUUGUUGUUGGAUCGGCGUGCGGGCCGUCGUAGCUACGCCCGAAGUGCGGGGGCAAUUUUAAUGUUCGCCCACACAGGGUCGUGUGGACUUGCUCCUAGGUACGAACGGACGAGUAGUGUGGUAGGGUGUUCAUUGUGCCACACGUAUGAUGAAUAUCGAGGUCUUAUCUUUAGGCGAGCUAGGGCUCCAAUUAAUCCUAAAUCCCUCACAAAUGCAACUCCAAAGAAACAGAUCCAGAGCACUAGAUAAGUCAUAGAGCACACAUCACGCAUUGCCCCAAAGGAGCCCCUAUACGCUGCUCUCUGCGGUAGAAGUUCGACCGGACGCACAGGCGGGAAUCCCUGAGUCGGGACAACCCCAAGAUCGGGUGCUUCACAAGAAGUACUGCCACCACAUGAGCUAGCGAACUAUCUAAUUUAUAAUGCGCCACAAAUGUUUAAGCACCAAACCAAUCACAGGUCAGAACGUUCUCAAAAUAUUGAAAGUAAACCAUUUUUUUAAACGUGAAUGUUGUAUGAAACACUAACACAUUUCUAAAUGGGAAUCGUUU